rnacentral:pre_miRNA from 1 species
UAUAUACUCCCACCAUCCGGAAAUACUUGUUGAAGAAAUUUAUGUAUGUGACAUAUUUUAGUUCUAGAUACAUCCAUUUCUAUCCAUAUUCUUCGACAACUAUUUCCGAACGGAGGGAGUAGAAA